GACGGAGGAUGCAAGCGUUACUCGGAAUUACUGGGCGUAAAGCGCGCGUAGGUGGUUUAGUAAGUUUGAUGUGAAAGCCCUGAGCUUAACUCAGGAAGUGCAUUGAAUACUGCUAGGCUAGAGUACGAGAGAGGAGAGUGGAAUUUCUGGUGUAGAGGUGAAAUUCGUAGAUAUCAGAAGGAACAACGAUGGCGAAGGCAGCUCUCUGGAUCGUGACUGACAUUGAGGCGCGAAAGCGUGGGGAGCAAACAGG
rnacentral:rRNA from 1 species